rnacentral:lncRNA from 1 species
CUCGGUCUGGCGGGUAGAUCCCCGGACUGGGAUAAUUUUCUAGAUUUUUCUACUAGGAGGGCAGAGCAGAAUCGAGGCUGUUCUGAACGAGCAGCGAGGAGACUGUUGCAGAAUUCGCCUGAAACCAGCCCUGAAACUAGUUCGAGGACUUCGGACUCAAGUUUGAAUUGGGAGGAGUGGGGGCCAUUUGAACUAGCAUCGCCCACACCUCAAGCAGUAAAUCCUCAAAUGGCACAGCCUGCCAACGCAAGGAUGAAGUAUCCAACGUUUACACAGACUGACGAUCCAGACACUCACGUAACUGCUUUUGAAAACGUCAGCACAGCAAAUCAGGAGCAGGCAGAUGCUGUGAGAGUCCGUCUGUUUCUGGCGACGUUGCUGGGAGCAGCAGCAGAAUGGUAUGGUCAGGCGAAUGCAGCAGCAGCCUUUGCAGCCUGGGCAGACCUCAAAACGGCAUUUCUCAAUGCUUUCCGUC